GGGAGCUUGGCUCAGUUGGAAGAGCGCAGGUCUCAUACAAAUUGUGUGACCCGAUCAAAGAUCGGGAUAUCCUGAGGUCGUGAGUUCGAGCCUCACAGUUCCCA